CAGACGUUACUUCAAAAAAGAAGAUGAUUACGUCCUACGCGUCAUGCAUUUAGUCAUGCAUAUUAACCAAUGACUUAAAUUCUGCCAAGUCACUGGUUUUCCUGGCUAGCUCAGGCAACCCAUUCCAUGCUCUAAUAGCACUAGGGAAGAAGGAGUAUUUGUACAAAUUUGUCCUAGCAUAUGGGACGUAAAAAUAAAAUAAUGCAGCAAAAAGAUUUACAUUGAAUUUGUAAAAAAUUGAAUGCACAAAUAAUCUCUUCAACGCUAGUCUAGAGCCUUGCCAAGUUAAGAAUGCUAAAAAAAUCUCAUUCACAUUCCUUUCUAACUAAUUAUCUAGACUCUAAUACUUUGUGAUUCUUGUUUACUGACGAAUAUAUUAUAGAUCUAUAUGAAUAUAUCUACUACUGACUAGACUAAGAGUUAUUUAAGCACUCUUUAGUCUUUUAUGCAGCAGUAGCAAGGAAUUUUGUUGAAAUUAAUGUAGAGAUUGUGUUUUGGAAACUUAAACCCGAUUGUAUUACAUCUAGAUUUACUCGUCUAUAGUCAGUAAGAGUAACUAAGGUAACUAGAUCUAGUGCAACUAGUUGAACUAGUGCUGCUAUGACUGUUAUUGUUAGAUCUAGAUCUAGACCUAGUAGUAGUUUAUGCUAUUCGGACACCUAUAGAUAGAUCUAGAUUUAUAUAGAGAGAAUAUAGAGGAUUCAUUUAGGCAAGAAUGGCUAUCGUAACUGUAGGGGCCUAUAUACUACAAAAGAUCAUCUGUAUUAGAAAUGUAUUAAAUUAAUAAACAAAAAAACACAAACAUUCAACACACAUCUAAUCAUGCAAACCCCAAACAUUCAACACACAUAAAAUAAACAUCUACCCAGUUACUUCUAGUAGGUCUAGAUUACUCUAGAUCUAAGCAUUUAACUUCAUUCAAUGUACCAAGCUCACUUCAAACAUUUGCCCAUUUAUUCUCUAUUUAAAAAAACAACAACAAACGAACAAAUAUAAUAUAAGAUCAUUUUUAUUGAUGUCCAAAAACUCCAGGCUGUCCGAAAUAAAUUUUGGUAAGAAAAUCGUAAUUUAAUUCGGACACCGUAUUAAUUUUUUUUUGGUAUGGAAUUACAAAUAAAUUAGCUCCAAAAAACAGAAUAAAUAUUGUCUGGCUCAUUAGUAUAGACUUAGCCAAUCAAAAAAUAUAGUCUUAACUCUAGGAAGAGGUAAAGUCAUCCGGGUAACAUAGGAAAAAACAACCUGACUAACAAAUUUGAAAUUUGUUUUUCUUACAUAAAAAGACAGCUAAAUGGAAUUAAAUGGGUUAGAAUCAAUGGAAAAUGGACAAGCACAUUAUACAGCGCGCUAGUUUUAUAAUACAUAUUAAAAUAAUUAUUUAAUGACCACAAAAAACAGCGAAUGUCCGAAUUCAUGUAAUGUCCGAAAUAAAUAAACUACUAUAUAAUAAUUAUAAAAUUAUAAUAAUAUAAUGUAGACUCCCGAUCUAGAUGUAGAUUUUGAAUUUUCUCUACUAGACCUAAGACUAGAAAUUAGAAUGACUAGUGUCUAGUCUAGAUUCUAAUUCAAAAUUAGAUUCUUAGUGUUUCUACAUAAUAUUAUUAAUAUAGAUUCCAGAUAGAUCUAUUUCUGGAGACUGGAGGCCGCGGGAAAUCUGUUAUAAGUUAUAAAAUGGUUUAAUUUAAUAAUUUAUACACCUAAAAUUAGCGCGGGUCCUAUACAAGUGCUGGGCCCACUGCGGUCACAUAGGUUGCAGUGGCCUAAGGUUGGCCAUGCAAAAUAGCGGUGUAUGCUACGCCGCCGGUCGAGUAUUUAUUAGACUCUAUAUUUUGCAUAUUGAAUUAUUGUGUAUCUCUUUGCAGACAUCAAAAUCUCAUUUGGCUUUAGCAGUUUUAGCUUGUAUACUUGGAAGUCCUUUACAAAUUGGUCUGAAUACUGCAAUCUUGAAUGCACCUCAAGAGAAUGGAGAACCUACAAGUAGCAGCCAUUGCAGUCAUUUGUUUGGCAGUUUCAAGACCUCGAAUCAGGUGAUCAAAGAUUUUUUCAAUGAAACCUACUUUGAUAGGUAUGAUGAAGUCAUGUCAGACUCACUGCUUACAAUGCUCUGGGCAAUGACUGUGGCCCUUUUUUGUGUUGGGGGCAUGAUGGGAGGAGUUUCUGCUGCAUAUUUUGCUGGGAAAUUUGGAAGUCUGGUAGGCCACCCACGCUUUCAUCUUGCCUUCCACAAGAUGAGCCAUCAUGAUCUUGCCACUGAUGGAGGCAAAUGAGUCUGCUAGUCCAACUAUUCCUGCAAUAUACAGUCUUGUAACCUUGACCUUUUGCCCAGAGUCUCCAAAAUAUCUGCUGGUGAAUAAAAGAGAUGAUGAUGCGGCUGAAGCAGCUCUGAUUUGGUUAAGAAAAACAAGCGAUG